CCCUUAGAUGUCCUGGGCUGCACGCGCGCUACACUGACGAACUCAACGAGCUUAUCACCUUGGCAGAGAUGUCUGGGUAAUCUUUUGAAAGUUCGUCGUGCUGGGGAUAGAUGAUUGUAAUUAUUCGUCUUGAACGAGGAAUUCCUAGUAAGUGUGAGUCAUCAGCUCGCGCUGAUUACGUCCCUGCCCUUUGUACACACCGCCCGUCGCUCCUACCGAUUGAAUGGUCCGGUGAGGUUCUCGGAUUUUUUCUGUUGUUCGGUUCGCUAAACGAUUGAAGAGAGAAGUUACCCAAACCUUACCAUUUAGAGGAAGGAGAAGUCGUAACA
rnacentral:rRNA from 1 species